rfam:Klebsiella pneumoniae subsp. pneumoniae DSM 30104 Contig00014, whole genome shotgun sequence.
CGCGGGGUGGAGCAGCCUGGUAGCUCGUCGGGCUCAUAACCCGAAGGUCGUCGGUUCAAAUCCGGCCCCCGCAA